AGGGUGAGAACCCCGUAUGUGACCGGUCGCCAAACCCAUGUGAAACCCCUUCGACGAGUCGAGUUGUUUGGGAAUGCAGCUCAAAAUGGGUGGUAAAUUUCAUCUAAAGCUAAAUAUUGGCCAGAGACCGAUAGCGCACAAGUAGAGUGAUCGAAAGAUGAAAAGCACUUUGGAAAGAGAGUCAAACAGCACGUGAAAUUGUUGAAAGGGAAGCGCUUGCGACCAGACCUGCUCGCGGGUGAUCAGCGGUGCUUUUCGCGCCGUGCACUCAUCCGCGAUCAGGCCAGCAUCGGUUCAGGCGGCCGGAUAAAGACUCGGAGAAUGUAGCUCCCUCCGGGGAGUGUUAUAGCUCCUUGUGCAAUACGGCCAGCCGGGACCGAGGACCGCGCUUCGGCUAGGAUGCUGGCGUAAUGGUCGUAAGCGACCCGUCUUGAAACACGGACCAAGGAGUCUAACAUCUGUGCGAGUGUUUGGGCGUCAAACCCAUGCGCGCAAUGAAAGUGAACGUGAGGUGGGAACCCUUUCGGGGGCGCACCAUCGACCGAUCCAGAUGUCUUCGGAUGGAUUUGAGUAAGAGCACAGCUGUUGGGACCCGAAAGAUGGUGAACUAUGCCUGAAUAGGGUGAAGCCAGAGGAAACUCUGGUGGAGGCUCGCAGCGGUUCUGACGUGCAAAUCGAUCGUCAAAUUUGGGUAUAGGGGCGAAAGACUAAUCGA
rnacentral:rRNA from 1 species